GAUGAACGCUGACAGAAUGCUUAACACAUGCAAGUCCACUUGAAUUUGGGUUUUUAACUUAGGUUUGGGUGGCGGACGGGUGAGUAACGCGUAAAGAACUUGCCUCACAGCUAGGGACAACAUUUGGAAACGAAUGCUAAUACCUAAUAUUAUGAUAAUAGGGCAUCCUAUAAUUAUGAAAGCUAUAAGCGCUGUGAGAGAGCUUUGCGUCCCAUUAGCUAGUUGGAGAGGUAACGGCUCACCAAGGCGAUGAUGGGUAGCCGGCCUGAGAGGGUGAUCGGCCACAAGGGGACUGAGACACGGCCCUUACUCCUACGGGAGGCAACAGUGGGGAAUAUUGGACAAUGGACCAAGAGUCUGAUCCAGCAAUUCUGUGUGCACGAUGAAGUUUUUCGGAAUGUAAAGUGCUUUCAGUUGGGAAGAAAGAAAUGACGGUACCAACAGAAGAAGUGACGGCUAAAUACGUG
rnacentral:rRNA from 1 species